CAGAACUCUUCUUUCUCUUCCUUUGCAGCUUACUGACACCCAAGUGUCUCCCUAGAGAUGGGCUGAAAGUUCAAGUGUCCAGGUGCCCCCCUACCUUGGGAAGGCACAGGAUGACAUGCGCAUGAUGGUGCUGAGUCAAUCACCUGCUCCAGUUUCCUCCUAAGACUCCAGGUCCCUCCUAAGAGUCAGAUAAGAGCCAGCCAAACACUGUUCUCCAGGUGUGGCAUGAUCAGCGGGGAGAGAAAAUGGGGAGAGAAAUGUGUCUGCUGCUGAGGACCACACAGGAUUUUAUGACAUCUUAUCAUGCUGCUGCUAGAGUGAAGGUGUGCUUGUGCACAUGUGUAAUGAGCAAAGUUUGGGUGAGCAUGACCACCUCUUUCCAGCAACCAGCUGCAUGAACCCAUCUAGUCAAAAUGUGUGUAUUCUGCUGAGCAGGUGCCCUAAGUCAGCCCAGUGAGAGUCAGCCUGGGAAAUCCAGCAGGAAGGACUGGGAAAGAGGCAGUCCCUUGGUCAUCAUCCUCACCGCAGCAUGGAAGUGGUCUGCCUCUGAAGGAAACCAACACGGAGGAAAACAGAGUCAAGAGAAGUAGAGAAAGAUGGUACUAAUGCUGUCAUUGAGCCCUUCAUCUGGCUAUGCCAAAAGCCAGAGGCCCUCCUGAGGUUUCCAUUGUGUGAGCAAAUAAACGAUCUCUUAUGCUUAA